GGACUACUAGGGUAUCUAAUCCCGUUCGCUACCCACGCUUUCGUGUUUCAGCGUCAGGAAUGUGCCAGUACAGUGCCUUCGCAUUUGGUGUUCCCCAUGAUAUCAACGGAUUUCACCCCUACACCAUGAGUUCCCUGUACCUCUCACAUCCUCUAAGUCGUGCCGUUUCCCCCGCAUUACCGGGGUUAAGCCCCAGUGCUUUUACGAAAGACUAACACGACCGCCUACACACCCUUUACGCCCAGUGAUUCCGGAUAACGCUUGAGGCCUCUGUAUUACCGCGGCUGCUGGCAC
rnacentral:rRNA from 1 species